AAUGGGAUCAUCUGAAGUUAAAAGCCUUGGAGCUGUGUUGGCUAUGCUGUGACCACAAGGUGUGGGUCGCAUUUCUAUGGAUAAGGUGCUAAUACCCAAAGAUGUCAGAAUGGUAAAUUAGAACGAGAUUUUGCCUUUAAAGACCUUAUGGAGCCACAGCCAAGCAGAAACCACCUACCUCCAGUCUUCUUGUUGUACAAGAAAAUUAACAUGUUUUAAAAUAUAAGCCUGUGGCUCUCAAAGUGUGGUCCUCUGACCAACAGCAUCAAGAUUAUCUGGGAACCUUCUGAAAAUGCAAAUUCUCUGGCCCCACCCCAAUGUCAUGAAUCUGCAUCUCAGAGUCCAGUGAUACUGAAGCAUGCCCAAACUUUAGGGUCACUGUGAUCACAGUACAGUUUCUGUCAAAGGCAUUCCUAGCUGAAUCUGCAUACAAAUAUGUGUAGACCAGUGAAAAGAUCUAAAGUAUUCCCUAGAAGUUGCUUGAUUGAGUCCCUGUUAUUAGUUUGAUUUCUUAAUAUUUACCUCUUUUUUGUGAGUAAGCCUAUCUCCAGAGGGUGAACUUGCUGUUUUGUGUGUGUGUGUGGGGGGGGGGGGGUUUUAUAUAAAAAAUAUAUAUAUAUAUACAGAUUUUGUGUGCAUAUAUAUAUAUAUAUAUACACACACAUAAAUUAUUGUGUGAAACUUAAUGCUUCCUUUUCCUAAAUUGUGUUCUUGUCCUUGAUAGAACCUUCGUUUUCACUUUACUGGAAGCCUCUCACUUCCUAGCAUCAUUCCAAUACAAUAUUAUUUAAACAUUAGUUAAAGACUUCCAUUUCCAGAUGACUUUAAAACCCAUUCCUUAAACAAAUUUGAUUAUCAAGAAAUAUGGCCAUCUCAUAGAUCUUCAGAAUACUCUCACUAACUACCAUUACUGCUAGGACACACUUUUGCAUCUAAGGGUGAGAAUGGGAAGCCAUCUGUGCCUACACUGGGGACUACCAAAUACUUUUGAUGCACUUUCGGAUCCUGUGCAUGUUAUUCUGAUUCCAAAGAAAAGAGUUGGUGGCUGAACAGGUGUGAAGUCAAGAAAUCCAGUUUAUGAUGAGGCUCUUUCAGACAGCUCUGGGUCCUCUCUGAUGGAUACCAUAAAGAGAUGCAAGGUUACUGGGGACAUGGGACAAGGGCAGAGGGGCUAGAGACCUUGUAUUCCUCUGUGCUUCCUAUCUCCCAGCUAUUUAGAACCCAACACUAGAGGAAGCUAAAUGAAAAUUUUGCAGAAGACUCCUUGUUUGCUUUCACUAGGACUCUUGACUCCCUCCUCCUCCCGUCUGCGCCUCAUCUUUUGUUUCGAAUAUUAAAGACAAAUGUUUUAUGGAGCAACAUCUCAACACCACUUUACUGUGAGAAGCACUUUACAUAUAUUAUCUUAUUUCCUUUAUUUUAUCUAAUUUCCCCCUUUUCAAUUUUGCUUCUUCAUUCUUUAAGUAUUCUUCCUCUAUUUUGUUUUUCUUUUUUUGUCUUUAUUUAUAUUUCCGUUAAAAACAAUACUUUCACAUCCUUUUGAAAUUAUAUCUAUUCUUGGUUCAGCUUAGAAUUUUUGUUCUUAAUCUAUAUUUAUAUUUUUUUAUAAAAGACUAAUGGCUCCAGCUUCCCUCCUAUCCCCUAGCGCCCCUCCGGCUGCACCGCGCUGGCUCCCAAGCUGGCAUCACCCUCGUCUCCCUUCAGCUGCCGUCAUGAUUGUCUACCGGGACCUCAGCAGCCACCAAAAGAUGUUCUCCAACAUCUACAAGAUCCGAGCGAUCGCGGACGGGCUGUGCCUGGAGGCGGAAGGGAAAAUGGGGUAUCAGUAGGAUAGAAGGUAACAUUGAUGCCUUGCUCAUUGGUGGAAAUGCCUCCGCUGAAGGCCCCGAGGGCAAAGGUACAUAACCAUGGUAAUCACUGGUGUCGAUAUUGUCAUGAACCAUCACCUGCUGGAAACAAGUUUCACCAAAAAAGCCUACAAGAAAUGCAUCAAAGAUUACAUACUGGAUUACUGUGAGGUUGGUGUGACCCCAUAUAUGAUUUUCUUCAAGGAUGGUUUAGAAAUGGAAAAAUGUUAAGAAAUUUGGCAGUUACUUUGGAUCUCUCACCUGUCAUCAUUACUGGUUUCUGCUUAUCAUCCAUACAACACCAAGACUUAAGACAAAUGGGAUUAAUUUCAUCCUGAGCUCUUCAUUUAUUCUGACCAUGAUUUAUUUGGAGUGGAAGCAUCAUUUUUAAGAAAACUAUGACAUUUAGGUUGUCUAAAAAUAAAAUACAUUUAAACU